rnacentral:rRNA from 1 species
GAUGAACGCUGGCGGCGUGCCUAAUACAUGCAAGUCGAGCGAACAGACGAGGAGCUUGCUCCUCUGACGUUAGCGGCGGACGGGUGAGUAACACGUGGAUAACCUACCUAUAAGACUGGGAUAACUUCGGAAAACCGGAGCUAAUACCGGAUAAUAUAUUGAACCGCAUGGUUCAAUAGUGAAAGACGGUUUUGCUGUCACUUAUAGAUGGAUCCGCGCCGCAUUAGCUAGUUGGUAAGGUAACGGCUUACCAAGGCAACGAUGCGUAGCCGACCUGAGAGGGUGACCGGCCACACUGGAACUGAGACACGGUCCAGACUCCUACGGGAGGCAGCAGUAGGGAAUCUGCCGCAAUGGGCGAAAGCCUGACGGAGCAACGCCGCGUGAGUGAUGAAGGUCUUCGGAUCGUAAAACUCUGUUAUUAGGGAAGAACAAAUGUGUAAGUAACUAUGCACGUCUUGACGGUACCUAAUCAGAAAGCCACGGCUAACUACGUG